CUCUGUGACUCCUACGGGAGGCAGCAGUGGGGAAUAUUGCACAAUGGGCGCAAGCCUGAUGCAGCAACGCCGUGUGAGUGAAGAAGGUUUUCGGAUCGUAAAACUCUGUCCUAAGGGAAGAAACAAAUGACGGUACCUUAGGAGGAAGCCCCGGCUAACUACGUGCCAGCAGCCGCGGUAAUACGUAGGGGGCAAGCGUUAUCCGGAAUCACUGGGCGUAAAGGGUGCGUAGGCGGCUUAGCAAGCCAGGGGUGAAAGGCAUUGGCUCAACCAAUGUAAGCCUUUGGAACUGUUAAGCUUGAGUGCAGGAGAGGUAAGUGGAAUUCCUAGUGUAGAGGUGAAAUUCGUAGAUAUUAGGAGGAACACCAGUGGCGAAGGCGACUUACUGGACUGUAACUGACGCUGAUGCGCGAAAGCGUGGGUAGCGAACAGGAUUAGAUACCCUGGUAG
rnacentral:rRNA from 1 species